UCUCUCCUCACCCAAAUCCUAAUGUGAGAGAUACCCUUCUCUUACUAAACACGAAAGCACUCUGCUCUCUGCAAGCGACUUCCUGCUUCAGGUGUCGCACUCAAUGCAGCCGUCGCAUUUUACAAUGUGAACUCAUUGAGAGUAGAGGCAGCUCAGAUCUAAUCUGGCAGUGCUUAGCCACACAAACUUUCC
rnacentral:misc_RNA from 1 species